AUGGAUGGAAGGUGGCCUCUAUUUAUGAGCUAUCGCUGAAUGAGGGGAUUGCGGCUGAUUAGCUACUUGGAGGGGAAACGGCCCACCCAGGCUAUGAUCAGUAACCGGUCUGAUAGGAUGAACAGCCACAUUGGAACUGAAACACAGGCCACACUCCUACAUGAUGCAGCAUGGGGGAAUCUUCCACAAUGGACCAAAGUCUGACGGAACACCGCCUCGUGAGUGAUGACCUCCUUCGGGUUGUAAAACUCUGUUAAUCAGAACAACAGGUCCUCUUGCCAAUACCUAAAAGAAUUGACUGUACCGGAAUAAAAAGCCACGGCUAACUACAUGCCAGCAGCCGCAUCAAUACUUAUGUGGCAAACGUUGUCCGGAAUUAUUGUGCGUAAAGCGCGCGCAGGCUGAUCAGUUAAUCUGUCUUAAAACAUCUAGGCUUAACCCCUUGAUGAUAUGAAAACUGCUGAUCUAUACUAUCGUAGAGGAAAGUGGAAUUCCUAUUGUAACGAUGAAAUGCGUAGAUAUUAGGAAGAUCACCA
rnacentral:rRNA from 1 species